rnacentral:rRNA from 1 species
UACAGAGGUGGCGAGUGUUGUUCGGAUUUACUGGGCGUAAAGGGUCCGCAGGCGGCCUUGUGUGUCAGAUGUGAAAGCCCACGGCUCAACCGUGGAAAUGCAUUUGAAACUACAGGGCUAGAGUACGGGAGAGGAGAGGGGAAUUCAUGGUGUAGCGGUGAAAUGCGUAGAUAUCAUGAAGAACACCGGUGGCGAAAGCGCCUCUCUGGACCGAUACUGACGCUCAUGGACGAAAGCCAGGGGAG